CUUGAAGAUUUACUUCUUUCAAGUAAAUACCAGAUCCUCACUUUUCUCCCCUAACAUAGACACUGGGUGGUGCUGCUGUCCAAAAAUUCUGCUCUAUCCUGGAUUUACUACUCCAGAGUAAAGACAAGUAUUUAUCUAAGUUUAGUGUGGGCCAAGCAGAGUGAUCAGGAUUGGAGAUAUCAAGAUGAAUAGCCUCAGUAGACUCUCCUCUGAUUACCCUAAACUAACUGCUACCAUGUUCAGUGGUUGAGAAAUUAGAAAAUGUGACUUUACAUAGGAGCACACCACUGUCACGGAAAUGCCCAGCUGUGGGGGUGAAGGACCCUGAACCGCCUACCCUCUCCAUGAGCACCCCUCCUUGAUGACCGGCUAAGAAUUAGAACAGACAAUACCGAACAUCGCUUCCAAAUCACUAUUUGGUUGUCAUCGCAUACUUAGGCCCCUGUGGCUAUAAAAGCCAAAGGACCUGAUUAUGGCUCCUUCAGCUUGGAUCUUGGAGUUUUGGAUGUUCAAAGCUAACUGGGCACGAUGUGCUCGCUUCUAUAUUAUAGAGGCUCUUACUAUGAGCAAGUGAGGAAGGGAAAUGGACCUUCAGGACGAAAGUAGUGGGAGAAGCAAGGGAGGUAGACCAGCAACCAAUCCCUGGGCGAAUCUGAGAGAGCUUGGAUUGGGUCUAGGGAGGUGGAUCUGGUAUGACGUGCUCAAGACCCUGUUGCAGGGGUGAGGUCUUGAGGAGACGGGAGACAGCAGCGGACUCAGACCCAGCAAGGCUAAAGCGGCGGGUGGGGCGAGGAGGCGAGUCUGGGACCCCUUGGCCAAUUGGAGAGGACUAGGGCGGGGUCUGGGGCGGGGCCUGCCAGCAGAUUAUAACUGCAGGGUUCCGCGCGGGAAGGCUAACCUCGUCUACGGUGCGGAGCGGUCCCAGCCUAGCUGUAGGCCUUUCCCCAGUCUCCUUUUUUUCAGUCUUUUAGUCAAGAUGAGUGACAAGCCAGACUUGUCUGAAGUGGAGAAGUUUGACAGGUCAAAACUGAAGAAGACUAAUACUAAAGAAAAAAACACUCUUCCCUCAAAGGAAAGUAAGUCACAGGGGUUUUCUAUUUAGACAAUAGUGAAAAUAGAUAGAUUCAGUGUAUAAAACUCUUCUAGUAAAUUUUACCACAAAGUAAGCAAUCGUUAGAGUACCAUUAU
rnacentral:lncRNA from 9 species